AACGUGGACCCGUGAUCCGGGUUGCGGACAGUGUCUGGUGGGUAGUUUGACUGGGGCGGUCUCCUCCUAAAGAGUAACGGAGGAGCACGAAGGUUGGCUAAUCCUGGUCGGACAUCAGGAGGUUAGUGCAAUGGCAUAAGCCAGCUUGACUGCGAGCGUGACGGCGCGAGCAGGUGCGAAAGCAGGUCAUAGUGAUCCGGUGGUUCUGAAUGGAAGGGCCAUCGCUCAACGGAUAAAAGGUACUCCGGGGAUAACAGGCUGAUACCGCCCAAGAGUUCAUAUCGACGGCGGUGUUUGGCACCUCGAUGUCGGCUCAUCACAUCCUGGGGCUGAAGUAGGUCCCAAGGGUAUGGCUGUUCGCCAUUUAAAGUGGUACGCGAGCUGGGUUUAGAACGUCGUGAGACAGUUCGGUCCCUAUCUGCCGUGGGCGCUGGAGAACUGAGGGGGGCUGCUCCUAGUACGAGAGGACCGGAGUGGACGCAUCACUGGUGUUCGGGUUGUCAUGCCAAUGGCACUGCCCGGUAGCUAAAUGCGGAAGAGAUAAGUGCUGAAAGCAUCUAAGCACGAAACUUGCCCCGAGAUGAGUUCUCCCUGAGACUUUAAGUCUCCUGAAGGAACGUUGAAGACGACGACGUUGAUAGGCCGGGUGUGUAAGCGCAGCGAUGCGUUGAGCUAACCGGUACUAAUGAACCGUGAGGCUUAACCUUACAACGCCGAAG
rnacentral:rRNA from 1 species